CCCAUAACAGAAAUGACUGAUUCAAAAGUAUACUUUUUCUUUACUUCCUGAUGGAUCUGUCAAGUGUUAUAAAGGAAUUCUGAAACCUUCUAGUGUAACAGUAGAAUAUUUAAUUUCUCAUUGUAGUUCCUUCAAUGUUUUGUCUAUUUUGUUUUUUUUCCUGGUAUGCUCCUUCUCUUGCCAUUCAGAAACGAUCAUGUUCCAGCAGUAAUUGAGCCUGUGUGUGUUAAACACUCUAGUCCCAUAUCCACAGUUAGGAAGCCCCUGGAGUGUUUCUUCAGCAAACCAAUAUACUGACAGUUACUCUAUAUUUCCCUAGAUUGCUAUGAAGUCAUAAUAGAGGUGGUAUCUUCUGAUUUGGGAAAAGACCAAAUACAUCGUAUUGCUGAGUGUUCACUGUAGGUGACUCAUAGGUGGUGGAAUUACAACUGCUCAUCUAUUCCCUGUGAGAAUGAUUCAAGAUGACAUUCACAUAUGAGAACAACAAUUGUCAAAUGAUUGUAAUGCCCUCUGCCUUACUUUGUGAUCUUUGCCCCAACUGCUGUUUCCCAUCUAGUUAACUAAUGUCACCAUAGCCAACAGUAGACUUGUGAAAAUGAUCUCCUGCUCACACUGUCUUCCUUUCUGUAACUACAGGUAGCCUCUGCAGCAAAUGAGCAAAUUCCCCCAAAUGGCAUGGUGGAGUUCAUUCCUGAAGAAAGCAUGAGUCGAGAGACCCCAUCAAAAGCCAUUGAGGAUUCAAGAGGAUCCAUAGUUGGUAUGUAUCCUGACCUCACUCUCUUCCUGUUGCAAAAUGUAAAUGAUGCCAAGAGUCGGAGAGUCUUCCUUCAUUUUGAGUGCAGAGUCUCAGUGAUUCUACUACCUCCUUGAGAAUGAGAAGUGAGGGGGUUGUGGUCCAAGUUAAUUUAAAAAAAAAUCUAUGGCAUUCUGCAUAUUUUUUGAAGCACCUGAGUGAGUUGAGCAAAGUGGUUAGGUCAAUGAGAGUUUUAUACAUGUGUCUCUGUGCAUCCAUGCAACAUGAUUCUGAGUGUGCCUUUGUGUUCGUUUUUGCACAUUUGUUGUUUCUCUAGAUAUAUACAUGCCAAGAUGCCAAUGUCCACAUGUUUAAAUAAAAAAAGCCAUCUCCAUUAGACCAUGAUUUUGUAUAUGUGUAAAUAGAUCAAAGUGUAAACUUUCCAUGUGUGCAGUUCAUUCCACACCAAUACCUCAAUUAAUAUGCAAAACAUAUCCCAUCAAAACCCAGAAAAUUUUCACGACACUCUAUAAGGAAAAAGCUCGGGUUCAUUCCUGUCACUGCACCAGUAGCUACUUUGUUUAAUAGCAAACCUCACCUUUCAGUAGGCCCUGUAUUUAGUCAGUGCAUGUGAUUGUUCACAACAUUUCACUCAUGAAAAAUUUUCAAGUUCAUAUACAUUUUCUGUUAGAGGUACAUUCUAGGCACAAGUUUCUGGACAUGGCCAAUCCUUAACAGUGACCCUCAGGUCCACCAAUACACUAUGCUCACUUAUGGUGGGUAUCUGAGACAGAGGAGAUACACAGGCCAGAGGUUACUGUAGCUAAGGAAGGGCUUACUUUGCAUGUUCCAACUGACACUGAAAGCUACCUUAUUGGGUCUUUUUGUAGACAUUUAUUUGUAGAAACAUGUUUUAACUGGAUGGAUUUUCAUAGGGCCUGAUCAGCACAACUGCAGCUCAUCUAGUAACAGAGCAAAAGGUGGGCUCUAGUGAAGGUCCAGCUCAGCACAGCAGUGGUGUCAGAUCCCUAGUUUAGAUCUGUGCUGCUCCCUGUGUGGCCUGCAGGAUAUCACAUUGACAGUAUAUAUGAUAGGUCUUCAUAGUGUCAGUCUCAAAUGCUGUAUAGGUCCUUCUAUUCAUACAUAUAUAGAUACUGACACUGACUGGUCACUGUGAGGGUAGAACCACUGUGGUCAUCAUUCUUUCUCAUCCCUGAACUCCUCUCUGGGUAGAGUGUCUUCAUCUUAGUCCAUGUCAUCAUUUGAUAAAUGCAACUCUAUGCUAAGAUCUCACUUGUCAAGCAUGUGGGGCUCUACAAUGAACCAGGUAUCCACCUGGGAUCUGACCAGGACCAGCCAGAAUCAGUAGGUAAGUUAUGAAGAUAGCAUUGUGUCCAAGCUUUUCACACACAUAUCUCAUGAGCUCUAGGUGGGACAUGCUUGAUCUUGUGCAGAGCCAUCUGGAUCUUAAUGUUGACUUUGUUUAUGUAGAUUCCUCAGGCCCUCAGAGAGUUACUGGCACUUUUCACUUUUGCAUGACUCCACAGUCUACUUAUAAAUGAUAAGUAUGAGGAGUGAGAACAUGCUAGCAAACUCCUUCCAAGGAAACUCAGGGGAAGGAAAUUAUUGCCUGCUUCAUCUUUGAACUCCAGGUCUUGGCCAUCCAAAAUAACAGUAUUUUACAUUUUAUUUUAAUUUUAAAACAAAACUUUCAAAGUGGCCAGUAGACCCAUGUGGAUAAAGCAGAGAGCAUUUCCUUUUGUCUUGUGAGCAGCUGGUCUGAUGCUGGCACAGUAUAUAUUCUGCGUGUUUAUAUUCCUGAAACUGUUGGUAUUACAGUUUGCAUGUCAGCUUGGUCUGUUUCAAGGAGACAGUGAUAAUGUUCCAAUGGAAGAAAGUAGUUAAAAUUUGAC